rnacentral:rRNA from 1 species
CAUGCAAGUCGAGCGGAGAUGAGGUGCUUGCACCUUAUCUUAGCGGCGGACGGGUGAGUAAUGCUUAGGAAUCUGCCUAUUAGUGGGGGACAACAUUCCGAAAGGAAUGCUAAUACCGCAUACGUCCUACGGGAGAAAGCAGGGGAUCUUCGGACCUUGCACUAAUAGAUGAGCCUAAGUCGCAUUAGCUAGUUGGUGGGUAAAGGCCUUCCAAGG